rnacentral:rRNA from 1 species
UGCAGUCGAACGGUGAUCUUGAGAGCUUGCUCUUGGGUGAUCAGUGGCGAACGGGUGAGUAACACGUGAGUAACCUGCCCCAGACUCUGGAAUAACUUCGGGAAACCGGAGCUAAUACUGGAUACGAAACGAAGCUGCAUGGCUAUCGUUUGGAAAGUUUUUCGGUUUGGGAUGGACUCGCGGCCUAUCAGCUUGUUGGUGAGGUAAUGGCUCACCAAGGCGACGACGGGUAGCCGGCCUGAGAGGGCGACCGGCCACACUGGGACUGAGACACGGCCCAGACUCCUACGGGAGGCAGCAGUGGGGAAUAUUGCACAAUGGGCGAAAGCCUGAUGCAGCGACGCCGCGUGAGGGAUGACGGCCUUCGGGUUGUAAACCUCUUUCAGCAGGGAAGAAGCGAAAGUGACGGUACCUGCAGAAGAAGCACCGGCUAACUACGUGCCAGCAGCCGCGGUAAUACGUAGGGUGCGAGCGUUGUCCGGAAUUAUUGGGCGUAAAGAGCUUGUAGGCGGUUUGUCGCGUCUGCCGUGAAAUUUCGAGGCUCAACCUCGAACUUGCGGUGGGUACGGGCAGACUAGAGUGUGGUAGGGGAGACUGGAAUUCCUGGUGUAGCGGUGAAAUGCGCAGAUAUCAGGAGGAACACCGAUGGCGAAGGCAGGUCUCUGGGCCACUACUGACGCUGAGAAGCGAAAGCAUGGGGAGCGAACAGGAUUAGAUACCCUGGUAGUCCAUGCCGUAAACGUUGGGAACUAGGUGUGGGUCUCAUUCCACGAGAUCCGUGCCGCAGCUAACGCAUUAAGUUCCCCGCCUGGGGAGUACGGCCGCAAGGCUAAAACUCAAAGGAAUUGAC